rnacentral:rRNA from 1 species
CCUACGGGCCGCACCAGUGGGGAAUAUUGCACAAUGGGCGCAAGCCUGAUGCAGCCAUGCCGCGUGUAUGAAGAAGGCCUUCGGGUUGUAAAGUACUUUCAGCGGGGAGGAAGGUGUUGUGGUUAAUAACCGCAGCAAUUGACGUUACCCGCAGAAGAAGCACCGGCUAACUCCGUGCCAGCAGCCGCGGUAAUACGGAGGGUGCAAGCGUUAAUCGGGAUUACUGGGCGUAAAGCGCACGCAGGCGGUCUGUCAAGUCGGAUGCGAAAUCCUCGGGCUCAGCCUGGGAACUGCAUUCGAAACUGGCAGGCUAGAGUCUUGUAGAGGGUGGUAGAAUUCCAGGUGUAGCGGUGAAAUGCGUAGAGAUCUGGAGGAAUACCGGUGGCGAAGGCGGCCCCCUGGACAAAGACUGACGCUCAGGUGCGAAAGCGUGGGGAGCAAACAGGAUUAGAUACCCCUGUAGUC